rnacentral:rRNA from 1 species
UAGGGAAUCUUCGGCAAUGGACGAAAGUCUGACCGAGCAACGCCGCGUGAGUGAAGAAGGUUUUCGGAUCGUAAAACUCUGUUGUUAGAGAAGAACAAGGGUUGAGAGUAACUGUUCACCCCUUGACGGUAUCUAACCAGAAAGCCACGGCUAACUACGUGCUAG